rnacentral:tRNA from 1 species
GGGGUUGUAGCUCAGUGGUAGAGUGCUCACCUCACACGUGUGAAGGACUGGGUUUGAUCCUCAGCCCCA